rnacentral:rRNA from 1 species
UACGUAGGGUGCGAGCGUUAAUCGGAAUUACUGGGCGUAAAGCGUGCGCAGGCGGUGAGUUAAGUCUGAUGUGAAAGCCCCGGGCUCAACCUGGGAAUGGCAUUGGAAACUGGCUCGCUGGAGUGUGGCAGAGGGGGGUGGAAUUCCGCGUGUAGCAGUGAAAUGCGUAGAGAUGCGGAGGAACACCGAUGGCGAAGGCAGCCCCUGGGCCAACACUGACGCUCAGGCACGAAAGCGUGGGGAGCAAACAGG